GACGAACGCUGGCGGCGUGCCUAAUACAUGCAAGUAGAACGCUGAAGAGAGGAGCUUCCUCUUCUUGGAUGAGUUGCGAACGGGUGAGUAACGCGUAGGUAACCUGCCUUGUAGCGGGGGAUAACUAUUGGAAACGAUAGCUAAUACCGCAUAACAAUGGAUGACACAUGUCAUUUAUUUGAAAGGGGCAAUUGCUCCACUACAAGAUGGACCUGCGUUGUAUUAGCUAGUAGGUGAGGUAAUGGCUCACCUAGGCGACGAUACAUAGCCGACCUGAGAGGGUGAUAGGCCAAGCUGGGACUGGGACACGGCCCAGACUCCUGCGAGGGGGAGCAGUAGGGAAUCUUCGGCAAUGGGGGCAACCCUGAACGAGCAACGCCGCGUGAGUGAAGAAGGUUUUCGGAUCGUAAAGCUCUGUUGUAAGUCAAGAACGGGUGUGAGAGUGGAAAGUUCACACUGUGACGGUAGCUGACCAGAAAGCGACGGCUAACUACGUG
rnacentral:rRNA from 1 species